rnacentral:rRNA from 1 species
CCAGCAGCCGCGGUAAUACGUAGGUGGCAAGCGUUGUCCGGAUUUAUUGGGCGUAAAGCGAGCGCAGGCGGUUUUUUAAGUCUGAUGUGAAAGCCUUCGGCUCAACCGAAGAAGUGCAUCGGAAACUGGGAAACUUGAGUGCAGAAGAGGACAGUGGAACUCCAUGUGUAGCGGUGAAAUGCGUAGAUAUAUGGAAGAACACCAGUGGCGAAGGCGGCUGUCUGGUCUGUAACUGACGCUGAGGCUCGAAAGUAUGGGUAGCAAACAGGAUUAGAUACCCUGGUAGUCC